ACACUGGAUUCUCUCUCUGUUUCUCAGGAAACGUGGAUGGAAUGAGGAGACGGACGGAAUGAGGAGACAGACGGAUGACCGAACGUGGCAGAGGCCUGAGCUGAGGCUGGGUGCUGGGAGACCACGGACAGACUCUGUCCCUGCUCCGGAGGUGCCUGGAAGGUUCCGUGAACCAGGAUGCCGCCGUUACGAAGCAAGGGAAGCCACAAGUUUGGACACCCCUGCCCUACAGGCUUCAGAGGUGGUGUGGCCCUACCAACAUCUGGAUCUCAGACGUGCAGCCCCAGAUCCCUGGGACAGCACACUUCUGUGGUCUGCUUCGCCAGGACUGCUCAAAAUGUCAAAGUCCUCAAAACGAGGCAAGUCUGAGAAACAGUGGCAGACAGUAAGAGAUUAAGGAGGCAUGACGGUGAGACGCCAUGUGGCAUCCUGGUGGGAUCCUGAACGGAACAAGGACAUGCGCGACAUCUGAGUAAAAUGACAUUUGUGCUGUA